CCUACGGGUGGCAGCAGUGGGGAAUCUUCCGCAAUGGGCGAAAGCCUGACGGAGCAACGCCGCGUGAUCGAAUGAAGGCCUUCGGGUUGUAAAGAUCUGUUGACAGGGACGAAUAAGCCAUGCGAAUAGUUUGGUGUAUGACGGUACCUGUUUAGAAAGCUCCGGCUAACUACGUGCCAGCAGCCGCGGUAAUACGUAGGGAGCAAGCGUUGUCCGGAAUUACUGGGCGUAAAGGGCGCGUAGGUGGGUGCUUAAGUCAGCGGUAAAAGCCCGGGGCUCAACCCCGGCGAGCCGUUGAAACUGGCGGGCUGGAGUUGGAGAGAAGUACGCGGAAUGCGCGGUGUAGCGGUGAAAUGCUUAGAUAUCGCGCAGAACCCCGAUUGCGAAGGCAGCGUACCGGCUCCACACUGACGCUGAGGCACGAAAGCGUGGGUAUCGAACAGGAUUAGAUACCCGAGUAGUC
rnacentral:rRNA from 1 species